rnacentral:rRNA from 1 species
AACGAACGCUAGCGGCGUGCCUAACACAUGCAAGUCGAACGAGAAAUCCUGAGCAAUCGGGAGAGUACAGUGGCGCACGGGUGAGUAACGCGUGGGUAAUCUGCCCUGGAGUUGGGAAUAACACUUCGAAAGGAGUGCUAAUACCCAAUAAGAUCCUAAAGACCCCGGUUUUGGGGAUAAAAGAGGGCUGAGGCUUGCAAGCUCUCGCUCCAGGGUGAGCCCGCGUACCAUUAGCUAGUUGGUGGGGUAACGGCCCACCAAGGCAACGAUGGUUAGCUGGUCUGAGAGGAUGGCCAGCCACACUGGAACUGAGACACGGUCCAGACUCCUACGGGAGGCAGCAGUGAGGAAUCUUGCGCAAUGGGGGAAACCCUGACGCAGCAACGCCGCGUGAGUGAUGAAGGCCUUCGGGUCGUAAAGCUCUGUCGGAUGGGAAGAAAGUCUUUGCGGUGAAUACCCGCAGGGAUUGACGGUACCGUUAAAGGGAGCACCGGCUAACUCCGUGCCAGCAGCCGCCGUAACAC